GGAGAUUUUUCUCACAGAAAGGAUGCAAUUUAAUUUGUAUUCAUUUAGGUUUCAAUAAGUUCGGAAACAUAGAUCAGCUUCAGAAUUCGUUUUUAGGUUUUCAUAUAAGAGCUGCUUUUAGAGUGAGCUUGUAUCAAAUCUGAGCUGUCGUCCUCAGAGCAUAAAUAAACUAAUAUAAAUCCAUCUUUUUACUUAAUAUACAUCUCGCUUUUUGUACCUGCAGCAAACAUGGUCUGAAAAAUCUCCGAAAAAGUUGGAAAUUUGAAUCUGGAAAAAGGUUUUUAGGAAAUGUAGAAUGUGAAGGAACCCUGAUUAUUGGUUCCUUGACAAAUUGACAGACAUUUUUUGCAUGGUGGAAAGGAGCCAGGGAGAAGUAAAUCUUAUUUUACCAGCCCCUUCUUAAAAAAAAAAAAUGAAAUAACCAUAAAAAAGUCAAAUAAAAGCAUUAUGAUGUCACAGUUACAAAUACUGAAACAUAAAACCCGAACACAAUCACAAGUCCACUUCAUACUGUCUAAUUAUGCUUUCUUUAUACAUUAUUUUAAUUGUCAUGCUGGAUUUUCUUGUUCUCCCGUGCAGGUGAGGGCGGCCUGCAAAGCCUUCUGGGUAAUAUGAGCCACAACCAGCUGAUGCAGCUCAUCGGACCGACCGGACUGGGCGGGAUCGGGGGCCUCGGGGCCCUCGCUGGCCCAGGAUUGGCUAACCUGCUGGGCAGCAGCAGCUCCAGCAGCGUCCCUGCAGCCAGCAACUCCUCCACCAGCCCGUCCACAGCCGUCACCCCCACCUCCUC